rnacentral:misc_RNA from 1 species
GAUGAAGAACGUAGCGAAAUGCGAUAAGUAAUGUGAAUUGCAGAAUUCAGUGAAUCAUCGAAUCUUUGAACGCACCUUGCGCCCUUUGGCCAUUCCGAAGGGCAUGCCUGUUUGAGUAUCAUGAACACCUCAACUCUCAUGGCUCGCCAUGAUGAGCUUGGAUUUGGGGGUCUUGCUGGCCUGUGGUCGGCUCCUCUCAAAUUGAUCAGCUUGCCAGUGUUUGGUGGCAUCACAGGUGUGAUAACUAUCUGCGCUUGUGGUUUUCCAUCAGAUAACCUUCAGUGAUGGAGGUUCGCUGGAGCUCAUAAACGUCUCCCCUAAGCGGGGACAGCCCUUUGAAUGUUUGAUCUCAAAUCAGGUAGGACUACCCGCUGAACUUAAGCAUAUCAAUAAGCGGAGGA